UACGGAGGAGGCAAGCGUUAUCCGUAAUUAUUGGGCGUAUAGCGUCCGCAGGUGGCACUUCAAGUCUGUCGUCAAAGACUGGGGCUUAACCCUGGAAAGGCGGUGGAAACUGAAGCGCUAGAGUGCGGUAGGGGUAGAGGGAAUUCCCGGUGUAGCGGUGAAAUGCGUAGAGAUCGGGAAGAACAUCGGUGGCGAAAGCGCUCUACUGGACCGCAACUGACACUCAGGGACGAAAGCUAGGGGAGCGAAUGGG
rnacentral:rRNA from 1 species